GAUGAACGCUGGCGGCGUGCCUAAUACAUGCAAGUCGAGCGAACAGACGAGGAGCUUGCUUCUCUGACGUUAGCGGCGGACGGGUGAGUAACACGUGGAUAACCUACCUAUAAGACUGGGAUAACUUCGGGAAACCGGAGCUAAUACCGGAUAAUAUCUUGAACCGCAUGGUUCAAUAGUGAAAGACGGUUUUGCUGUCACUUAUAGAUGGAUCCGCGCUGCAUUAGCUAGUUGGUAAGGUAACGGCUUACCAAGGCAACGAUGCGUAGCCGACCUGAGAGGGUGAUCGGCCACACUGGAACUGAGACACGGUCCAGACUCCUACGGGAGGCAGCAGUAAGGAAUCUGCCGCAAUGGGCGAAAGCCUGACGGAGCAACGCCGCGUGAGUGAUGAAGGUCUUCGGAUCGUAAAACUCUGUUAUUAGGGAAGAACAUAUGUGUAAGUAACUGUGCACUUCUUGACGGUACCUAAUCAGAAAGCCACGGCUAACUACGUG
rnacentral:rRNA from 1 species